UACGGAGGGGCUAGCGUUGUUCGGAAUUACUGGGCGUAAAGCGCGCGUAGGCGGACCUGCAAGUCGGGGGUGAAAGCCCGAAGGCUCAACCUCGGAACUGCCUUCGAUACUGCGGGUCUCGAGUCCGGGAGAGGUGAGUGGAACUGCGAGUGUAAGAGGUGAAAUUCGUAGAUAAUUCGGAAGAACACCAGUGGCGAAGGCGACUCACUGGAC
rnacentral:rRNA from 1 species